rnacentral:rRNA from 1 species
GAUGAACGCUGGCGGCGUGCCUAAUACAUGCAAGUCGAGCGAACAGACGAGGAGCUUGCUCCUCUGACGUUAGCGGCGGACGGGUGAGUAACACGUGGAUAACCUACCUAUAAGACUGGGAUAACUUCGGGAAACCGGAGCUAAUACCGGAUAAUAUAUUGAACCGCAUGGUUCAAUAGUGAAAGACGGUUUUGCUGUAACUUAUAGAUGGAUCCGCGCCGCAUUAGCUAGUUGUUAAGGUAAAGGCUUACCAAGGCAACGAUGCGUAGCCGACCUGAGAGAGUGAUCGGCCACACUGGAACUGAGACACGGUCCAGACUCCUACGGGAGGCAGCAGUAGGGAAUCUUCCGCAAUAGGCGAAAGCCUGACGGAGCAACGCCGCGUGAGUGAUGAAGGUCUUCGGAUCGUAAAACUCUGUUAUUAGGGAAGAACAAAUGUGUAAGUAACUAUGCACUUCUUGACGGUACCUAAUCAGAAAGCCACGGCUAACUACGUG